GAUGAACGCUGGCGGCGUGCCUAAUACAUGCAAGUCGAGCGAAUGGAUUAAGAGCUUGCUCUUAUGAAGUUAGCGGCGGACGGGUGAGUAACACGUGGGUAACCUGCCCAUAAGACUGGGAUAACUCCGGGAAACCGGGGCUAAUACCGGAUAACAUUUUGAACCGCAUGGUUCGAAAUUGAAAGGCGGCUUCGGCUGUCACUUAUGGAUGGACCCGCGUCGCAUUAGCUAGUUGGUGAGGUAACGGCUCACCAAGGCAACGAUGCGUAGCCGACCGGAGAGGGUGAUCGGCCACACUGGGACUGAGCCACGGCCCAGACGCCUACGGGAGGCAGCAGUAGGGAAUCGUCCGCAAUGGACGAAAGUCUGACGGAGCAACGCCGCGUGAGUGAUGAAGGCUUUCGGGCCGUAAAGCUCUGUUGUUAGGGAAGAACAAGUGCUAGUUGAAUAAGCUGGCACCUUGACGGUACCUAACCAGAAAGCCACGGCUAACUACGUGCCAGCCGCCGCUGUAA
rnacentral:rRNA from 1 species